rnacentral:rRNA from 1 species
CCUACGGGAGGCAGCAGUGGGGAAUAUUGCACAAUGGGGGAAACCCUGAUGCAGCGACGCCGCGUGAGUGAAGAAGUAUUUCGGAAUGUAAAGCUCUAUUAGCAGGGAAGAGAAUGACGGUACCUGAGUAAGAAGCCCCGGCUAACUACGUGCCAGCAGCCGCGGGAAGACGUAGGGGGCAAGCGUUAUCCGGAUUUACUGGGUGUAACGGGAGCGUAGGCGGGGAAGCAAGGCUGAAGUGAAAGCCCGCGGCUCAACCGCGGAACUGCUUUGGAAACUUUUUUGCUGGAGUACCGGAGAGGUAAGCGGAAUUCCUUGUGUAGCGGUGAAAUGCGUAGAUAUUAGGAGGAACACCAGUGGCGAAGGCGGCUUACUGGACUGUAACUGACGUUGAGGCUCGAAAGCGUGGGGAGCAAACAGGAUUAGAUACCCCUGUAGUG